CCUACGGGCGGCAGCAGUCGAGAAUCAUUCACAAUGGGGGAAACCCUGAUGGUGCGACGCCGCGUGGGGGAAUGAAGGUCUUCGGAUUGUAAACCCCUGUCAUGUGGGAGCAAAUUAAAAAGAUAGUACCACAAGAGGAAGAGACGGCUAACUCUGUGCCAGCAGCCGCGGUAAUACAGAGGUCUCAAGCGUUGUUCGGAAUCACUGGGCGUAAAGCGUGCGUAGGCUGUUUCGUAAGUCGUGUGUGAAAGGCGCGGGCUCAACCCGCGGACGGCACAUGAUACUGCGAGACUAGAGUAAGGGAGGGGGAACCGGAAUUCUCGGUGUAGCAGUGAAAUGCGUAGAUAUCGAGAGGAACACUCGUGGCGAAGGCGGGUUCCUGGACAGUAACUGACGCUGAGGCACGAAGGCCAGGGGAGCGAAAGGGAUUAGAUACCCCAGUAGUC
rnacentral:rRNA from 1 species